rnacentral:tRNA from 1 species
GCUCCCGCGCCCCGGGGCCCGCACCGGUUCCGAGCCGGGGCCCGCACCGGUUCCGCACCGGUUGGGAGCC